rnacentral:lncRNA from 1 species
UGAGGAGGUACUAGGAGAUCAUUUAACUAAAGUUCUAAUCACCAGUUUAUAUACCAGGUUUUGGAAGAACUUGGAAAUAUAAUCAUGAACUACUACAGGUGUUUUGAAAAUUCAUGGAAAAUUAAGGAGGACUCAGAUCACUGGAGACAAGCCAAAGUCCUGUCUUUCAACAACAACAACAAAAAGUCAUCUUCAGACCAUAAAAUCUUAGAGACUAUCCUCAAAAUCACGUGUCUAUGUAAUCCUUUCAGUCAACAAAGACUGACAACUACUUUAUGCUGGACACUGUGCCAAGGGCUGCAGAUGCUUAAGACGGAAGUGAAAUAGUCCCGGCUCUCACAGAGCUUCCGUUCUACCGGAGAAGAUGACAUACUUUUUGGGAAGCAGAUUGAUAAGUGGAUGUAUCUACCAGAAGCUUUUGUUGUUUUUAACGCAAAGACAGGUUGGUCUCAAUUUACAGAUCCUUAUCUAUGUAAAGUACUCCUAC